AUUGAACGCUGGCGGCAUGCCUUACACAUGCAAGUCGAACGGUAACAGGUCUUCGGAUGCUGACGAGUGGCGAACGGGUGAGUAAUACAUCGGAACGUGCCCGAGAGUGGGGGAUAACGAGGCGAAAGCUUUGCUAAUACCGCAUACGAUCUCAGGAUGAAAGCAGGGGAACGCAAGGACUGUCGCUAACGGAGCGGUCGAUGGCAGAUUAGGUAGUUGGUGGGAUAAAAGCUUACCAAGCCGACGGUCUGUAGCUGGUCUGAGAGGACGACCAGCCACACUGGGACUGAGACACGGCCCAGACUCCUACGGGAGGCAGCAGUGGGGAAUUUUGGACAAUGGGCGCAAGCCUGAUCCAGCCAUGCCGCGUGCAGGAUGAAGGCCUUCGGGUUGUAAACCGCUUUUGUACGGAACGAAAAGACUCCUUCUAAUAAAGGGGGUCCAUGACGGUACCGUAAGAAUAAGCACCGGCUAACUACGUGCCAGCCGCCGCCGUAACAC
rnacentral:rRNA from 1 species